rnacentral:rRNA from 1 species
CCUAGAGGAUAGGGCCUUUCCCUUUUCGGGGGACAAGAGUGAACAAAGNGUGGGUGCAUGGGUUGUUNGUCAGNUNGUGUCGUCGAGAAUGUUGGGUUAAGUCCCGCNACGAAGCGGCAACCCUUGAUCUUUAAGUUGCCAAGCAUUCCAAGGUUUGGGCACUCUAAGGUUGAACUGCCGGUGACAAACCGGAGGGAAGGUUGGGGGAUGACGCUCNAAUCAAUCAAUGCCCCUUUAUGACCUCGGGGCUAACAACACCGUGGCUUACCAAUGGAGAUGGGUAACCAGAAGAAGAGCCCCCGCCAAAAACCCNGCCCGAGGGGGCAAAGACUAAAAUUCUCAUUAAAAAAGCCCAUUUCUCUAGCAGUUUCCGGAAUUUGCAAGGGCCUGCNAAACUUCGNCCCUGGCCAUGGAAAG